UUUGAAAAAUACCAAACCGUAAAAAAUAGAAAAUCAUUAAAAAAUUGUAGAGCCCCAAAUCUAUUCGAAAAAGUCGGUUUGGUUUACAAGCUACUCCCGCUUCAAGUAUAGUUUCUAACUGCUAAAAGUAACGGUAAAGCCUAAAAGCAGCAACAUUUUCCAUCGAUUUUGCUCGAAACACAGUUAAAGGCCAAAUGACAAAAAUACACCAGAAACAAUGCAAAAUGGAGAGAACAGAAACUGGUGGGGACGAUUUCAAUAUAUACAUAUGUUGUUUCUUUGUACUUUAUUAUUUUGGUGCCAUUGAAGAAACAAAUACACGCAGGUUGAAGUGGAGUACGGAGAUGAAAACUCACAUUUGGUAUGUUAACAUUGUGGAUUUUCGGAGAGCCUGCAAGAAUUCCGUUAAUGUCGACCAGGACAGAGCCAACCGAAGCUCUAGUAUUCUUUCUGCAACCAAGACGCUGCACCAAAACAGAUUAAACUGGAAAAUCUUCUGGAAAUUGUUCGGGCAAAGCUUGAAGUCAAAAAGAAGUAGCUGAAAUUACAGGAUGAGCACCAGGAAACAACUCGAGAGAUAUCCCAGAAAAUUGCAAGCAAUCAAGGCAAACCCAACUUCCACACGGAGUUGCUGCAAUGUUAAAGGGAUUCCAAAGAGUAACGUUUAUUAUUAUUAUUAUUAUCGAAAGAAAUCUACAUAAAUCCUUUUUAAAAAUAAAUUAAUAGUUUUCGAGUA
rnacentral:sRNA from 1 species